GUAUGCUGCCUCCUGUGCAUCAUUCUAAAGAAGAAACUGGGAAGAAAAUCGGCACGUUGUUGCAGUGAGAGCGAGGCGCCGGACCACCAAACGAACGUCAACCCAAGACGCCCGUCGUCAGCGUCGACGAAAGACGGUCUGACGUCUCUGUCCGAACUCACAGGAUUAUCGCCGAGGUCUUGUUCAACCACUCCUUCGUCUUAUUCCUACCAUCUACAGGGAAAAGUUCACUUGGGUUCUACAGAAAAAACUGGACGCAGAGAGACGACUUUGUCAGUCAUAGAAAACGGCCCGCCACAGAUGUCCAUUGUAGGCAUGGACCUCGUUAAUUUACCACCCCCAAACGGCGGGUCCACAGACAUGGAAGACCCGGACAUACUUCUCCCUCCACCGCCCCUGCUCUUCAACCCCAGUGAUACAACCUUCGGGUUCGAUGGUGGAGGUCUGAACUCCAGCGCAGGUUCCCUUCAUUAACACAAGUUACGAAGACUUGACUGAAAACGUUAGCCGAUUACCCAAUGUUUUUACGAAUUAUUAUUACAAA
rnacentral:lncRNA from 1 species